UACGUAGGGUGCGAGCGUUGUCCGGAAUUAUUGGACGUAAAGGGCUCGUAGGCGGUUUGUCGCGUCGGGAGUGAAAACCAGGUGCUUAACACCUGGCUUGCUUUCGAUACGGGCAGACUAGAGGCAUGCAGGGGAGAGCGGAAUUCCUGGUGUAGCGGUGAAAUGCGCAGAUAUCAGGAGGAACACCGGUGGCGAAGGCGGAUCUCUGGGCCGAUACUGACGCUGAGGAGCGAAAGCGUGGGGAGCGAACAGG
rnacentral:rRNA from 1 species